GCACAUGGGAUCCGUGCUGCGUACCGGGGAUCUUCAGCAACCCGCAGCCGAGCGGAGGGGACCUGAGCCCGGCGUGGAGCAGCACUCAACCUUCCUGGACUCUUCCUCUGACCCCACACUGGAGAACAUCUCCACAUUUCCGAGGUGAUCUUUCCUCUCGGCGUGUUAUUUAUUUAUAUCCGGACCCUGACAGUCAUCCGCGGCGGACGAACUGCGCCUUAACGCGGAGAGGUCGGACUUGUUUGGCUGGGGAACACACACCAACACACACGCGGAAACACUCCGGUCCUCUCGCCUCUCUUUCUUUUUUAUUUCCUGCCAGCUUUUUUCUCGACAUUUCUAUCGAACCAGGAGCUCGGAGGAUGAACUAGAAUCGCGAUCGCUUGUGUUUCACUGGAUUUAUUUCGCUGUGGAGGAAAAAAGAGAUCCCGGAGAGGAGCGGUGCGCAAAAAGCCGAGGUGUUCCUCUUCUCUCCUCUCCCUCUUUAUCUCCAUCUAUCAAUCUGUCUACCUGUCCUCUCCUGUCCAUCUGUCUCUUCAUUUGUUUCCCCUGUUUGUAGGUCCGUGAGAUUUUGCUAAAAUGCAUCAUCAACAGCGGAUGGCAGCUUUGGGAACGGACAAGGAACUGAGCGACUUAUUGGAUUUCAGCGCGAUGCGAAACAGCGAUUUGAAAAUGUUCCCAACAUCCAUGAUGUUUUCCCCUCCUGUUGGCAGUGGAAAGAACGGACCGCCGUCCCUGGGGAGCGGACAUUUCUCCGGCUCAAGUA